UUAAGCAGAUCAGGGCUGCCCAAAGUUAGACUUUUAAUUUGUAUAACUUUCAAAAUUAUUAUCUCCAGUAUUUGGAAAACACGAACAAUAAUAAACAAAUGUAUUUGAGUAGUAAUAUAAAGACCUGUAUUGUUUCACCACGUAAAAUUACAUAAUAAACAGAUUUUUGUUUGAAUGUCCAACUUCAUACUUUGACUUUAAUAUAUUAAGACAUGGCCUCCAGUGAUGCUGUAUGAUAAUGCUGUACAGCUGUCUUAUGUAUUUCAAGGGUUUGCAGUUUUCUAUUCUGUGUCUAGAUUAAAAAAACAAACAAACAAAAACAAAACAGCACAGUUCCUUCAGUACAGAGAGGGGCGAACCGGGAGAAAAGCUCUAUGGGAGGACAAACAAAAGACUGGCGGGAGUUUCAGAGCAAUCAGAGCGCGCGACUCUGCCGCUUGGACGUUCGGUUUUGAAGCGCGAGCGCUCUCCGCCGUUCCUCCGUUUAAAGCCAAACGCGACCGUUACAGCCGUUUACAGUGAGCGAGUCUCUCAGGUCGCUACCGCGGGCAGUUUAUCGAGUUUGUUUAGCGAGUGUUAAACCUCGAUAAGACUCUCCUACACUCCUUACUCAGACAGCGCCGCCUGCCGGGGGAAGCUUUCAGCUCCACAAACGAGGAUUUUCAGAUGCGUAGUUAGCUAAGCUAACUAGCUGACUGGACCGAGUGGAGUGACGACUGCAGCGGUCAGAGUCUGCUUUUAAAAGAUGUUUCUCAUCAGAAAUCAUCUGAAGCUGAGCAACUGGAACAUCCUCUCUUUGGGCCUCAUCCAGUAUGGUGGCAGUCCAUAUCAUUCUCAACACUCAACUGUGCUCUUACCCAAGUGGCCACAUCCUGAUGCUUCUUUCAUUACACUGAACAUCAUUGUCUGAACAUCAGCUAUGCGUGUGAGCUGGGUGCCACGCUGGAGUUCAUGCAUAGUGAGCUUGGCACGCCCUCACACAACGCAACGCAUCUACCGGAGCCCGUGUAUUGGCGGAACCGCUCUGGUGCUUGAUCAGUCAGAGCCAAGUGAGCGAGCUAACUAAUCUGAGCAUACUGGGCUCAUCAGGAAGGAGGGGCUUAAAGACACAGGAGCUCUAACAGAGCGUUUCAGACAGAGGAUGCAUUUUCCUCAUAUCUCUGACAAAGAAGACCAACACUGAGAAAAAACAGAGGAAGAAGCGAUGGGCUGUGAAUCUGACAGUUCUCUCACUCAUCAUGGAUUUAACUCUGAAAGGAGAGAUCGGUAACAUUAGCAGUGCGAUAUCAGUAAUGUUAGUGUUCAGGCAUUACGGCAUGGACAUAUGCACACUGUUAUCUGUGUCCUGUUUCCUGUGUCCACAUAUGUCCACAGCUUGACUCUAUUCCAGCUACCAGCACAUCUGAGUCUGGUAUUAAUUGUUUGACAGCUGAUCAUUAUCUGGCUCAGGUAUGUUAUGAGUACUGCUGGGGUUCAGACCUCUGUAUUACUCUGUUGGUCAGUUUUUCUUUUUAGUCCAUAUGAAUUUGUCUUAAAAUUGUUUCCUAUCAUUUAUAAUUGUUCAUAGUACUAUAUUGUUAAUAACCUCAGCAUAACUUAUAUACGGAAUAACAGCAGACCUUAAAAUCAGAUUCAUUGGUUUGUGGAACUGUGUAUUUAUUGCAGUAUAUUUUAAAUUUCUACACAAAGUCAGUUAACAUGUUUUUCCCCGUCUGUAGAACAUAUCAAGUGUGAUGACGCUAUUGUACUGUGCAUAUACACAGUUGUAAAAACAAUAAACAAUAACUGUAAUUAUAUUUUUUGAAAGCUAUGUGGGUGCUUUUUCAUGGGCUAUGCUUUGGAUUGCAGAGUAAAUUAUUUGAAUGUAGAAGUAUUCUGAAUUUUUAACAGAUUAACAAGGAAAUACAAACCUGUAAAAUAGUGAUUUUCCAUACCCCUUUAAAUUACUUUACUGUAAUUUAUGCAUACUUAUUAUUGUUCUUGUUCUCCUUCUUCUUAUUAUUUUAAAAGUUGAUAAAAUGAUACCUUCAUUAAAAAAUGAAUCAACUGUAAAAUAUUAAUUUUUACCACAUUUUUAAAACAUUAAGGGUUAAUUACUAUAAAAAGGUAUUUAAAAGCACUGAAUUAAAUUUUUACAUUUUCCUGCAACACUGUAUUACAAAAUAGUUGCAUAAGAGUCUUCCCUCAUACUACCACCAUGUUGAAGGCAUGGUAUGAACUCACAAAUAAACUUUCAUCAUAUCACUGAUUCCAUAAACUUUUCUAAUGCAACAGAAACAUUUAAAGGAGAAUUCCACAUUUUUCUAAACUUGGCAUAAUUCUGUCAUUGCGAUGUAAACAAAAUCAUUUAGUGGUUUCAUAUAAAAUGGCUUAUUGUAGAGAAAGCUACAGACUGGGAACCA